rnacentral:rRNA from 1 species
UACGGGGGGGGCAAGCGUUGUUCGGAAUUACUGGGCGUAAAGGGCUCGUAGGCGGCCAACUAAGUCAGACGCGAAAUCCCUCAGCUUAACUGGGGAACUGCGUCUGAUACUGGAUGGCUUGGAUCCGGGAGAGGGAUGCGGAAUUCCAGGUGUAGCGGUGAAAUGCGUAGAUAUCUGGAGGAACACCGGUGGCGAAGGCGGGUCUCUGGGCCGUAACUGACGCUGAGGAGCGAAAGCAUGGGGAGCGAACAGG